rnacentral:snRNA from 1 species
GUGCCUGCUUUGGCAGCACAUAUACUAAAAUUGGAAUGACACAGAGAAGAUUAGCUUGGCCCCUGCACAAGAAUGGCAUGCAAAUUCGUGACGCAUUCUUUUUUAAA